ACCUUAGCCAAAAGUUCAAAGUUAGCAUAACUAAUAGUGGGACAACUUGAAAUUAUGCAGCUCAUAAAGCAAUGCAAUAUAAUGUAUACACAAUGAUGUUUAAUUUGAAUCUAAUUAAGCACUCAGACUUAACUUCUGGUUAACAAGAUAUAUAGGGGAUAAAGAAACAAAUUAAACAGCACGAUGAGAAAGUAAUCAGAUAAAACCCAAACAUAGUACAUUACACAAAACAAAAAGUUUUAGGCUGUCCAAAGGACAAUAUUAUGAGAAAAAUAAAAAGAUGGUUGUGCAGGAGAAAUUUAAAGACAUUUAAGGAACAAGACAAUCUAAUGCAGUGUGUGAACUUAUCCAAGUUUAGGGUGACAUAUGUAGGCUAAAUGGGUUUGGAUAAUAGAGGACAUUAAGGAGUCACUGUUAGUUUUUCUAAAUUUGAUAAUGGCAUUUUGGUUUUCUAGAAAAAUGUAUUUUUUGGAGAUGCAUGCUGGAGUAUUCGAAAGUGCCAUGGCUAGAAUGUAUGUGUCCCUCAAAAUUCAUAUUUUGAGACUCAAGUUACAGUAUUAAAAGAUGGGGCCUUUAGAAUGAUUAAAUCAGGAGGGUUUUACUCCUCAUGAAUGAAUUAGUACCCUUAUAAAAAAGGGCUUGAGGGAAGUAGCUAUGCCCUAUUUGUUCUUCUAGCUCUUCUGCUGGGCGAGAUGAAAGCGUUCAUCUUCUCCGGAGAACACACGAAGUCCUCACCUUGCAAGCAGAGACCAGGCCCUCCCCAGACACUGAGCUUGGUGGCACUUGGAUUUUGGACUUCCAGCCUCCAAAAUUGUGAGAAAAAGUGCUGAAUAUCACAGAACACAAAGAAAAGAGAAAGAGAAACUGACAGAGCCUAUAAAUGUUGCACGAAGGUUCAGAUACAUACAGUUCUGCUGGCUUUUUAAGGAGCAGUGUUUCCUAUAUCCUAAGGCAGAUGGACAUGUUGGGAUGGAGGUAUAAUGAGAGAAAAGUGGUUACUUUCAAGACAGCACGCAAUUCCUUUUGGGAGAAAAUUGAAAAUAGAAGAAUGUAAUUUGGUGAUAUUUUUGGUGAGCAGAUGAGCUCCUCUGAGUGGAGCCUCUUAGUCUAGGUUGAGAAAAAUAUCAGUGAAACUAUUCUGCAUAUGGAAAGAACAGCUACUUGGGAGUUGGAAGAUGAUGGAGUAGUCUUACCAACAGAAAGUGGAAGAAUUGUCAGACGGUGUUGAGCUCAUGGGCAGAAGGGACUAGCCUUGCCUCAGAUGAGACUCGGGACUUUGAACCUUUGAGUUAAUGCUGGAAUGAGUUAAGACUUUGAAGGACUCUUGGGAAUUCAUGAUUGUAUUCUGAAAUGUGAGAAGAACAUAAUAUUUGGAAGGGAUGAGAAAAAGAGGCCAUCCAUGACCCUCCCCACAAUACAGUAGACCUGAACAAGAUGUUGACCCUGUACAUUGAAGAUAACAGCAACCAGUGUAUACACAUGUUAAACUUCAUCACAACCAAAACAAUGAGUGUAUUCAUCAUCCAGAAGUUUCCUCAAGCCCCUUUGUAAUCCUUCACCCUUGCCUCUCAUUGUGUCAUUCUCGAUGCCCAGGUAAAAACUGAUCUGCUUUCUGACACCAUUGCUUAGUUUUCAUUUUCAAGAACUACAUCUAUGUCAAGUCAUACAGUAUACAUUAUGCUUAUCUUUUUAAAACUAGUAUGAUUAUGUUGUUGUAUUAGCAGUUCAUUCAUUUACAUUGUUGAGUAAUGUUCUUCUGCAUGGAUAUACCACAGUUUCUUUAUAUGUUCACCUGUUUAAGGACAUUUGAUUGUUUUCAGUCUUGGGUUAAUGCAAAUAUAGCCAUUCUGCACAUUUUUGUAUAAGUCUUUGUAUAGACAUAUGCUUACAUUUUUUUUGAGUAAAUACCUAGGAGUGGAGUGUCUGAAUCAUAUAGUAGGCGUAUGUGUAACAUAUAAGUAACAUUGUAAAACUGUUUUCCAAAGUGCUCCUGCCAUUUUGCAUAAAAAUCAAAAGAAUAAGAGUGUUCUGCUUUGUCUACAUUAUUGCUAAUAUUUGGUAUGGUCAGUAUUUCUGACCCAUUCUAUUUUGUGUGUAUUGGUAUCUAAUUUUUGUAAUUGAUGACUUCCCUAAUGACAAGUGAUGUUGUUUUUCAAUUUCUAUAAAAUUUUGUAUAGAAUUGAUAUUAUUUCUCCUUAAGUUUUUGGUAAAAUACCCCAGUGAAGCCAUAUAGGUCGGGAGGCUUUCUUUGUUGUUAUUUGUUUGUUUUGUUCUGUUUUCUUAUUGUUUUUUUUUUAAUUGGAAGGUCUUUAAAUUCAAUGUCUUUAAUAGAAAAAGGACUAUUCAGGUUAUCUCUAUUUCGUGUUGAAAAAACUUUGUUAGUAUUGCUUUAAAAAAUUUUGCCCAUUUUAUCUACAUUUUAUUAGUAGUAUAAAAUUGUCCAUAACAUUUCUCUAUUGACUUUUCAAUAUCUAUAGAUUUUGUCAUAAUCCCAUCAUUCUCAUUGUUUGAUAAUCUGCUUUAUUUUUUCCUGAUAAAUGUAGAUAUAUGUUAUUAAAUAAAUUAACUUUCUCGAAGAUCCAGGUUUUGAUUUUAUUUAUUCUUCUCUGUGCUUUUUUUUUCUGUUUCUACUUUAUUUACUUUUAUUCAGAUCUUUAUUUUUUCCCUUUGUC
rnacentral:lncRNA from 1 species